rnacentral:ncRNA from 2 species
GAUAACGUGGUUCGAGACCAUCCCACGUAAAAAAACUAAGGGAGA